rnacentral:rRNA from 1 species
AUUGAACGCUGGCGGCAGGCUUAACACACGCAAGUCGAGCGGGGGAAGGUAGCUUGCCACCGGACCUAGCGGCGGACGGGUGAGUAAUGCUUAGGAAUCUGCCUAUUAGUGGGGGACAACAUCUCGAAAGGGAUGAUAAUACCGCAUACGUCCUACGGGAGAAGGCAGGGGAUCUUCGGACCUCGCGCUAAUAGAUGAGCCUAAGUCGGAUUAGCUAGUUGGUGGGGUAAAGGCCUACCAAGGCGACGAUCUGUAGCGGUCUGAGAGGAUGAUCCGCCACACUGGGACUGAGACACGGCCCAGACUCCUACGGGAGGCAGCAGUGGGGAAUAUUGGACAAUGGGGGGAACCCUGAUCCAGCCAUGCCGCGUGUGUGAAGAAGGCCUUAUGGUUGUAAAGCACUUUAAGCGAGGAGGAGGCUACUUUAGUUAAUACCUAGAGAUAGUGGACGUUACUCGCAGAAUAAGCACCGGCUAACUCUGUGCCAGCCGCCGCAGUAA